rnacentral:rRNA from 1 species
AGGGAAUAUUGCAAAAUGGGCGAAAGCCCGAUGCAGCAACGCCGCGUGGGCGAUGAAGGCCUUCGGGUCGUAAACCGCUUUUCUGGGGGAAGAGCAAGGACGGUACCUCAGGAAUAAGUCUCGGCUAACUACGUGCCAGCAGCCGCGGUAAAACGUAGGAGGCGAGCGUUAUCCGGAUUUACUGGGCGUAAAGCGCACGCAGGCGGCUCUGUUAGUCGGACGUGAAAGCUCUCGGCUUAACCGGGAGAGGCCGUUCGAUACUGCGGGGCUUGAGGUAGGGAGAGGAAUGCGGAAUUCCCGGUGUAGUGGUGGAAUGCGUAGAUAUCGGGAGGAACACCUGUGGCGAAAGCGGCAUUCUGGCCCUCACCUGACGCUGAGGUGCGAAAGCGUGGGUAGCAAACA